rnacentral:rRNA from 1 species
AUGUUGAUUUUGCUAUUGUUUCUGUUGAUAGUUCACGAUUACAGCAGCAACGAACAGAACAUGAACAACCAGAGAUCCCAAUCAAACAGGUCAUCACAACACAAUGCAAUCAUUCUGUAUCAUGAAUUAAAACCAUUUAACUGGGUAUAUAAGAACCAUACCACUCUUCCGCUCCAUCCAGGUUUUGCCACAAGUCUUUUCUCCUUAUCGGUACGGAAGCCGAUAAACUGUCCUGAGCCUGGAUGUGGAGCGGUUAAAGCCUGCCUUUCUGAGUUCCUCUUGGAUGUCUUGCGGCGCAUCAUUCGUAUCCGUGAGGCUGAGCUGAACAAGGUUUGGUCGGGGGAUGCGAAGCUCAUUAAACGCGUCGGCAGGCGGCCAUUGCACCGGACCCUCCAGCUCCACCGUCUGAAGAUACUGAAGGCCCUGCUCAGUGAAGACACACGGAGGGAUCUCGUCGCCUUUCAGCUUCAAGUGGCCAAGGAGAUGCAUCCUCCCGAGAGCAGCCUUGAGUGCGGCCCCGUGCUUAGCAUCCUCCAAGCCUUGCAGCUCCAGCGACCGGAGCUUUGUCAUCUUGAGCAGCGGGCAGUUGAGCUGGUCCCAUUCCCCUUGGUGGUGGGGCUUCACACCAUGCACUGUCUGCAGCUCAUCCAGUUCUUUUCUGAUGGGAAAGACCUGGACGGGUGGAAGCUUGAGGUUGUCUGCGAGCACAUGCCGCAGUGUCUUCAUCGUCCACAAGGAAAUGUGAAUCUCCUCCACCUGAGUGCCCCUUAUGUCCAGUGUCUGCAGAUUGGUCAGCCUCUUCAUGCUGGACGGGAGAUCCUUAAGGUCUUUGCUGUCAACACGAAGGUACCGCUGGUGGACCAUGCAGCCAAUGUCAUCAGGCAACUUGUUAAGUCUCAGUCCCUUUAA